GAUGAAGAACGUAGCGAAAUGCGAUAAGUAAUGUGAAUUGCAGAAUUCAGUGAAUCAUCGAAUCUUUGAACGCACAUUGCGCCCGCCAGUAUUCUGGCGGGCAUGCCUGUUCGAGCGUCAUUUCAACCAUCAAGCCCCAGGCUUGUGUUGGGGGCCUGCAGCUGCUGCAGCCCCCUAAAAGCAGUGGCGGACUCGCUGUCAUACCGAGCGCAGUAGUUACAUCUCGCUCUGGGCAUGGCGGCGGGCACCUGCCGUAAAACACUCUUUCUAAGGUUGACCUCGGAUCAGGUAGGAAUACCCGCUGAACUUAAGCAUAUCAAUAAGCGGAGG
rnacentral:misc_RNA from 1 species